UUAGACCAAUUGCAAACCCAGUCAGCUGUAUUCAAAACUGUUUGAAGAAGUUCAGAAAGUAAAGUAUUGGAAAGUCAAAGUGGACUCAGAGGCUGUGCAAAAAGACAGGAAGCUGCAAGAAAACAAAAGAACAAUUGAAACCCAACGUAAAGCCAUUCAGGAAUUGCAGUUCGGAAAUGAAAGCCUCAGCAUAAAACUAGAGGAUCAGAUCAGUGAGAAUGAUGAUCUGCAGAACAAAAACAAUGCAACA